GCCAGCAUGGUGUAGUGGUUUGAGUGCUGGAUUGGGACUCUGGAUAUCAGGGUUCAAUUCCCUGCUUGGCC